rnacentral:rRNA from 1 species
AUUGAACGCUGGCGGCAUGCCUUACACAUGCAAGUCGAGCGGCAGCGCGGGGCGAACCCUACGCGGCGAGCGGCGGACGGGUGAGUAAUACAUCGGAACGUGUCCUUUUGUUGGGGAGUAACCAGUCGAAGACUGGCUAAUACCGCAUGAGAUCUCACGAUGAAAGCGAGGACCGCAAGGCCUCGCGCGAUUGGAGCGGCCGAUGUCGGAUUA